UACAGAGGUCUCAAGCGUUGUUCGGAUUCAUUGGGCGUAAAGGGUGCGUAGGCGGCGCGGUAAGUCGGGUGUGAAAUCUCGGGGCUUAACUCCGAAACUGCAUUCGAUACUGCGGUGCUUGAGGACUGGAGAGGAGACUGGAAUUCAUGGUGUAGCAGUGAAAUGCGUAGAGAUCAUGAGGAAGACCAGUGGCGAAGGCGGGUCUCUGGACAGUUCCUGACACUGAGGCACGAAGACCAGGGGAGCAAACGGG
rnacentral:rRNA from 1 species